UACGGGGGGGGUAAGCGUUGUUCGGAAUUACUGGGCGUAAAGGGCUCGUAGGCGGCCAACUAAGUCAGACGUGAAAUCCCUCAGCUUAACUGGGGAACUGCGUCUGAUACUGGAUGGCUUGGAUUCGGGAGAGGAAUGCGGAAUUCCCGGUGUAGCGGUGAAAUGUGUAGAGAUCGGGAGGAACACCGGUGGCGAAGGCGGGUCUCUGGGCAUCUCCUGACGCUGAGGCGCGAAAGCGUGGGGAGCAAACGGG
rnacentral:rRNA from 1 species